rnacentral:rRNA from 2 species
UUACCAUGCAAAUCGAACGAUGAAGCCCUUCGGGGUGGAUUAGUGGCGAACGGGUGAGUAACACGUGGGCAAUCUGCCCUUCACUCUGGGACAAGCCCUGGAAACGGGGUCUAAUACCGGAUAACACUCUGUCCCGCAUGGGACGGGGUUGAAAGCUCCGGCGGUGAAGGAUGAGCCCGCGGCCUAUCAGCUUGUUGGUGGGGUAAUGGCCUACCAAGGCGACGACGGGUAGCCGGCCUGAGAGGGCGACCGGCCACACUGGGGCUGAGACGCGGCCCAGACUCCUACGGGAGGCAGCAGUGGGGAAUAUUGCACAAUGGGCGAAAGCCUGAUGCAGCGACGCCGCGUGAGGGAUGACGGCCUUCGGGUUGUAAACCUCUUUCAGCAGGGAAGAAGCGAAAGUGACGGUACCUGCAGAAGAAGCGCCGGCUAACUACGUGCCAGCAGCCGCGGUAAUAC